rnacentral:rRNA from 1 species
CCUACGGGAGGCAGCAGUGAGGAAUAUUGGUCAAUGGGCGGAAGCCUGAACCAGCCAAGUAGCGUGCAGGAUGACGGCCCUACGGGUUGUAAACUGCUGUUAUACGGGAAUAACGCGCCGUACGUGUAGGGCUUUGCAUGUACCGUAUGAAUAAGGACCGGCUAAUUCCGUGCCAGCAGCCGCGGUAAUACGGAAGGUCCGGGCGUUAUCCGGAUUUAUUGGGGUUAAAGGGAGCGUAGGCCGCAUGUCAAGCGUGCUGUGAAAUGUCCGGGCUCACCCCGGGCCUUGCAGCGCGAACUGGCGUGCUUGAGUCCGCGGCCAUCAGGCGGCAUUCGUCUUGUAGCG